rfam:Ochotona princeps cont2.228996, whole genome shotgun sequence.
UCACCGAGGGAAAACAUAGAGGAGAGGAACAUGCUCAUUGACUUGGAGAAAAUCGAGGGGGAAGAGCAAGGAUCCAAAAGCCCCCGGGAGCCCCCCACUUCUUAGUCCU